CGGCAUCUUGCUUUCUGCUCCCCCUCCCCCGUGUCCCCCUCGCCUCUCCCUCCUUGCCUUUUAUCCCCAGCCCCACCCGCCAAAAUGAACAGCUCGGACGAGGAGAAGCAGCUGCAGCUCAUCACCAGCUUGAAGGAACAAGCCAUAGGCGAAUAUGAAGACCUUCGAGCAGAGAACCAGAAAACAAAGGAGACGUGUGACAAGAUUAGGCAAGAACGAGAUGAAGCUGUUAAGAAACUGGAAGAGUUUCAGAAAAUUCUCAUAUGGUUAUAGAGGAAGUAAAUUUCAUGCAGAACCACCUUGAGAUAGAGAAGACAUGCCGAGAGAGUGCUGAGGCCUUGGCGACAAAGCUAAAUAAAGAAAAUAAAACCCUGAAAAGAAUCAGCAUGCUAUACAUGGCCAAACUGGGGCCAGACGUAAUAACAGAGGAGAUAAACAUUGAUGAUGACGACCCAGGCACCGACACAGACGCCGCGGCAGAGACCUGUGUGUCCGUCCAGUGUCAGAAGCAAAUCAAAGAACUUCGAGAUCAAAUUGUGUCUGUUCAGGAAGAAAAGAAAGUGUUAGCCAUUGAGCUGGAAAGCCUCAAGAGCAAACUCGGGGAGGUGAUGGAGGAGGUAAAUAAAGUUAAGCAAGAAAAAGCUGUCUUGAAUUCAGAAGUUCUUGAGCAGAGGAAAGUCUUAGAAAAAUGCAACAGAGAUGUUCAUUGAACAAAACAAGCUGAAGAGACAAAGCCACCU
rnacentral:lncRNA from 1 species